rnacentral:rRNA from 1 species
AUGAACGCUGGCGGCGUGCCUAAUCCCUGCAAGUCGCGCGAACAGACGAGGAGCUUGCUCCUCUGACGUUAGCGGCGGACGGGUGAGUAACACGUGGAUAACCUACCUAUAAGACUGGGAUAACUUCGGGAAACCGGAGCUAAUACCGGAUAAUAUAUUGAACCGCCUGGUUCAAUAGUGAAAGACGGUUUUGCUGUCACUUAUAGAUGGAUCCGCGCCGCAUUAGCUAGUUGGUAAGGUAACGGCUUACCAAGGCAACGAUGCGUAGCCGACCUGAGAGGGUGAUCGGCCACACUGGAACUGAGACACGGUCCAGACUCCUACGGGAGGCAGCAGUAGGGAAUCUUCCGCAAUGGGCGAAAGCUUGACGGAGCAACGCCGCGUGAGUGAUGAAGGUCUUCGGAUCGUAAAACUCUGUUAUUAGGGAAGAACAAAUGUGUAAGUAACUAUGCACGUCUUGACGGUACCUAAUCAGAAAGCCACGGCUAACUACGUG